CCUACGGGGGGCAGCAGUGGGGAAUAUUGGACAAUGGGGGCAACCCUGAUCCAGCCAUGCCGCGUGUGUGAAGAAGGCCCUCGGGUUGUAAAGCACUUUCAGUGAGGAAGAACGCCUGGGGUUAAUACCCAUCAGGAAAGACAUCACUCACAGAAGAAGCACCGGCUAACUCCGUGCCAGCAGCCGCGGUAAUACGGAGGGUGCGAGCGUUAAUCGGAAUUACUGGGCGUAAAGCGCGCGUAGGUGGCUUGAUAAGCCGGUUGUGAAAGCCCCGGGCUCAACCUGGGAACGGCAUCCGGAACUGUCAAGCUAGAGUGCAGGAGAGGAAGGUAGAAUUCCCGGUGUAGCGGUGAAAUGCGUAGAGAUCGGGAGGAAUACCAGUGGCGAAGGCGGCCUUCUGGACUGACACUGACACUGAGGUGCGAAAGCGUGGGUAGCAAACAGGAUUAGAUACCCCGGUAGUC
rnacentral:rRNA from 1 species